GAUGUGAGAAAAAGGACCUAACAUUAUUACAGUCCAUACCAGCAGAGACAACAUCUGUCCACAAGAUGGAGCUGUUGUACUCUUCAUAGCUGUGAAACAACAAGGUUUCAGUGCUUUCUGUUACAUGGACCUUCUCUUCAUUUCAUAUAAGAUUAUUAUAUUCACCUGCCUCACCGUCAUAAUUAUUUUAUGGAGUGUAAUCAUCAGCAGUUUUCAGAUGUCAUUCUGAAAAAUGAUCGUGAAGAUAUUUAGAUUUUAACUAAAAGUUUAGAUAUUUUGAAGCAGUGGUUUUAGUGUGUUUUUUGUUUCUUUGAUUAUGUUUUUUUUCCCCUCUCACAUUGUUUCUGGAAUCGUGGUUUGUACUCCUGCAGUUCCAGGAACACCUUGCUUUCAAAGUUCACAGAAAUUCUCCACAUCCUCCCGCCUCUCAGGACCCUUUACAGAGAAACAACCUCCGCAUUUUUGGAGAAGGCCUAUGUUGAAGAGGAAACCCCCCCCCUCCCACUCACACCUCAUCUUACCUCAACUCACUUCAGAGCAUCUACAUACAUUUAACAGGGUGCGUGUGAUUGCACAGAAACACACGUAAGUGCAUGCAUUCACUUUUGAAGCACUUGCACUCAAAAACCGCAUCGACAUUUAGGACACGGUACAGGAACAAACGCUGACGUGAGAUGACGAGGUGCAGGAGUUGGAGAGGAUUUCUCGUCUGCUGACCUCCCACUUCACAGCAGCACUUCACAACCUGUUUGUUUUUGAGAGGAAUACUCCACCCUCUCAUCAACAAGCUCUGCUCAUUAAGUUCCUCAAACCACUUCUGUUACACAGGCCGGGCUUUGAAUGGGAGGCUGAUUGCAGCCUAAAAAUAAGACUCAGACAAACAUGACUGCCGCCCUAAAGACGCAAUGGGAAGCAAUGAUGGGUAAAGUCAAAUAAAGUUGUGCUCUCUA